UCCUGUAUUUCUGAAAAAUAAAUAAGUAAACUGUGUGUCUGAUUAAAAACUCUUAUCGCUUCACACAACAGACACCAGUUUGAUUUCUCCUUUUAACUUCAGUGAGGUCACACUCCUGUGUUUGUGACAUAGCAGCGGGUUGCCAUGGAGAUGAUAGCUUUAUCAGCAACUCUGCUUUGCAAUGACUUCACAGCAAGGUUACCAAGAAGCAGAUGGGCUGUGAAGGAGACAAACCCCCUUGUCUAAACACAAAUAGCAUUGAUAAUUAAUUAGCUGAAGCAGCAGGGGAAAUUAUGAAAAUGUGUGAAAGGAAUGGAAGAAUCCUCUUUUUGACUUCCUUGCUGGUUGUGAUCAUCAAUAAAGCACCAGUAUUAAAGA